GGCCUGUUCGACUAGGGGUUUAGGUCAUCGCCCUUUCACGGCGGUAACACGGGUUCGAAUCCCGUACAGGCUA
rnacentral:tRNA from 1 species